rnacentral:snRNA from 1 species
UUCCCGGCGGUACUGCAAUACCAGGUCAAUGCGUGGAGUGGACAGAGCAAGCUCUUUUUCCAUCUCCCUGUUCCAAAAAUCCAUUUAAUAUAUGGUCCCCAGAUAGGGGACGUAUCAGAUAUUAAACUGAUAAGAACAGAUACUACACUUGAUCUUAGCCAUAAGGCCGAGAAGCG